AGGGGCUUAGUUAACUAUAACAUCUGGGUUGCAUUCAGAAGGUACUCCURUGGGGUAGCACUUA
rnacentral:tRNA from 1 species